GUGCUUGCUUCGGCAGCACAUAUACUAAAAUUGGAAUGAUACAGAGAAGAUUAGCACGGAGGGCCGCCGUUUGGGGAUGCCUGGUUUAAUACAUCAAACAUGCAUCAAAUAU